GGUCGACUGGCCCAGUGGUUAAGGCAUGUGCUUUACACGCACAGGAUCGCAGGUUCGAUCCCUGCGUCGAUCA
rfam:Aspergillus calidoustus genome assembly, contig: SCAF21